rnacentral:rRNA from 1 species
UACGGGGGGAGCAAGCGUUGUUCGGAUUUACUGGGCGUAAAGGGCGCGUAGGCGGCCACCGCAAGUCGACUGUGAAAUCUCCGGGCUUAACCCGGAACGGUCAGCCGAUACUGCGGGGCUAGAGUGCAGAAGGGGCAACUGGAAUUCUCGGUGUAGCGGUGAAAUGCGCAGAUAUCAGGAGGAACACCGGUGGCGAAGGCGGUUCUCUGGGCAUUACCUGACGCUGAGGAGCGAAAGUGUGGGGAGCGAACAGG